rnacentral:lncRNA from 1 species
GCUCAACUCAAUCAGAGACGUCAAAGGUUCACGGUGAAAGCUGUAGGAACAAGUCUUCCGCUUCAACUCUGGGACUGUUGCCAUCUCUAUCAGUGAACAAGCUCUGGAAUGUACCUGAGAAAUGAUAUGCAUGCAGGGAUUAGUUUUUUUUUCUUUUUUUUUUCUUUUUUUUUUUGUAUCUCUUUUUUUUUAUUGCGUUUCUUUUGAAAAAUAAAUAUGCUAUGAUGCAAAUGAUGCAGACACGACUGGUUGGCUGUGUCUCUCAGAACACAGGAUCAAAACUUCGGCUUGAACUCGGAACCACAAAUUCAUCUGAAACCCAAAGUCAUCUGAGACCCCAAAAUUCUGAACCAAUAGUCACCAACAGGAUCACAAGUCACCAACAAGUCACCAACAAGUCACCAACUGUACCUGUAAUAAUGAUCAUUCCCUCCCCACUCACGGGUGUCAUCUAGGCCAGGGUAAGGUCGAGAGAAACGCAGCAUAAAUAACCUUUCGCAGAACAUCAUCAUAUACACACCCGAAGUAUGUAACGAUAAUAUCCCACCAGGGUCUGAACUGCUCGUGAUAUCAAUGUUCCGCUAAGU